rnacentral:rRNA from 1 species
UACGGGGGGAGCAAGCGUUGUUCGGAUUUACUGGGCGUAAAGGGCGCGUAGGCGGCGCGACAAGUCACUUGUGAAAUCUCCGGGCUCAACUCGGAACGGCCAAGUGAUACUGUCGUGCUAGAGUGCGGAAGGGGCAACUGGAAUUCUCGGUGUAGCGGUGAAAUGCGUAGAUAUCGAGAGGAACACCUGCGGCGAAGGCGGGUUGCUGGGCCGACACUGACGCUGAGGCGCGAAAGCUAGGGGAGCGAACGGG